rnacentral:lncRNA from 1 species
AGGCAAAGACAGAACAAGGCAUGACCUAUCCUUAAGGAGAGAUACAAGAAACUAAUAUUUCAGCCAAAAAAUGAUAGGAAUUAUAAAAUAUGGCCAGACUGAUGGAACAGUACCAGGAAGAGAUAUUUAAGCCAUAAAUCAGACUUGAAGAUUUAUGGUCAAAGAAGGCUUCUUGGAGAAUGUGAUGCUGACCAACCGGAUUUGUGCCAGACACAUUUGUAUUCCCCAAAGUAGCCAUCAGGCCCUCAGCUGCCUGGAAAUCCUCCUAAGUGCUCCCUAGGCAGCUCUCUGGUCUACUUCCAUGAUAGCUAUUUCUUUCUUAUUUUCUUCACUCUCCUCAAAAUGUCCAGAUAGCCUCUACUGUCUCACUCAGACAGAGAAAGUCAGAGAAAACCCACAGCUUCAGAGAAAACAGAAAUACAGCCUAUUAGCAGAGAAUUCUUAGUACUAAAAAAUGAAGCACAGAGUUCAAAGGCUGGUACAAAGAGUUAUUUUAUUAUUCCCUAAAUCACCAUUUCCAGACAUGACCACUUUCAGAGGCACAGGGAAGUCCUUCCUCUCUUCUGCUUCCUUGUGGUUUUUGAAGUGUCUUCACUCCUCGGUCAGAGCCCCAGACUCCCUCUCACCCUCCUCUGCUGCGGGCCCAGAGUCUCCACCAUUCCAUUCCAUUCCAUUUCUCCUUCAGGAGGAGCAGAUUAGAGGCCAGAAUGGUAGUGAAGGGGAUAUUCUUUCCAUUUCAGAGAAUCAGGGAAAAGGAAUUUCCAGAUUCAGCUGAGACUGAAGUCUCUGGGACCCUCUCAACAUAAUGCCAGACCUAAAACUCCAAAUCUCCAUCCCACCUUACCAAAACAUCCUAUUAACCUAGCUUGGUCAAGGUCCCAGACGGGAGAUGGUUAUGCUCCAAGUCCCAGGAAGGUUAAAUGUGGUAGGGCCAAAGGGAUGAAAAUCCCAUUCCUUCUCAUGGGCUUUUAUGUUUUCUAUGAAGUGAAGUCUCUCAGCUGUGUCCAAUUCUUUGUGACCCCAUGGACUAUAUAGCCCACCAGGCUACUCGGUACCAGAGUUCUCCAGGCAAGAAUACUGGACUGGUUCACCAUGCCCUUUUCCAGAGGAUCUUCCUGACCCAGGAAUCAAACCUGGGUCUCCUGCAUUGC